UACGAAGGGGGCUAGCGUUGUUCGGAAUUACUGGGCGUAAAGCGCGCGCAGGCGGUUCUUCAAGUCAGAGGUGAAAGCCCAGAGCUCAACUCUGGAAUGGCCUUUGAGACUAGAGAACUAGGGUACGGGAGAGGUGAGUGGAAUUCCGAGUGUAGAGGUGAAAUUCGUAGAUAUUCGGAAAGAACACCAGUGGCGAAGGCGGCUCACUGGCCCGUUACCGACGCUCAGGCGCGACAGCGUGGGGAGCAAACAGG
rnacentral:rRNA from 1 species